GACGAACGCUGGCGGCGUGCUUAACACAUGCAAGUCGAACGGAAAGGCCCUGCUUUUGUGGGGUGCUCGAGUGGCGAACGGGUGAGUAACACGUGAGUAACCUGCCCUUGACUUUGGGAUAACUUCAGGAAACUGGGGCUAAUACCGGAUAGGAGCUCCUGCUGCAUGGUGGGGGUUGGAAAGUUUCGGCGGUUGGGGAUGGACUCGCGGCUUAUCAGCUUGUUGGUGGGGUAGUGGCUUACCAAGGCUUUGACGGGUAGCCGGCCUGAGAGGGUGACCGGCCACAUUGGGACUGAGAUACGGCCCAGACUCCUACGGGAGGCAGCAGUGGGGAAUACUGCACAAUGGGCGGAAGCCUGAUGCAGCAACGCCGAGUGCGGGAUGACGGCCUUCGGGUUGUAAACCGCUUUCGCCUGUGACGAAGCGUGAGUGACGGUAAUGGGUAAAGAAGCACCGGCUAACUACGU
rnacentral:rRNA from 1 species